rnacentral:lncRNA from 1 species
UUUUUUUUUUUUUUAACAAAGGAAAGCCUCCCAAAGGAUUCACUCUUCAAUUUUUUUUUUUCAGGGACUUGUAAUAAAUUAUAGUUUCAGGGCCCAGAGAAGAGCCAAAGUAGAAAGUUAAAAGAGCAACUAUUCAGGAGUUCCCGUUUUGGCACAGUGGAAACACAUCUCACUAGUAACCAUGAGGUUGCAGGGUAGGUCCCUGGCCUUGCUCAGUGGUGACCUCAUUUUCUAUGUAUGAAUGAGAAACUGAAAUAGGCAUCAAAUUAAGUCAGGCUUAAAGCCCAAGGCAGUCAGAGGAAACAUAUUAUCUACCGACAGCACAAAGGUGCUCACUGAAACAUUGUGUGGCCACAAACAGAUAACCUCAGCAUUUCAACGAUAGGAGAAUAUACAGUAAAAGGAAUUACCGCAUGCCCAUACAAUCACACAUGACACUGCUAGUUAAAAAUCACAAUACUGGGGACCUGCUGUGCAACACAGGGAACUCUACCCAAUAUUCUGUGAUAAUUCCGUGGGAAAAGAAUCUGAAAGAGAAUGGAUGUGUGUGUAUGUGGCACCGAAUCACUCUGUUGUACAGCACAAAUUAUCACAACAUAGGAAGUCAACUAUACUUCAGUAAAACUUUAAAAUAAAAAAAAUAAAAAAAUCACACUUACAUANUGGAUUUUUAGGGCUGCACCUGAGGCAUAUGAAGGUUCCCAGGCUAGGGGCAGAAUCAGAGCUACAACUCCUGGCCUACGCCAGAGCCACAGCAACGCCAGAUCCGAGCCAUGUCUGUGACCUACACCACAGCUCACAGCAAUGCCAGAUCCUUAACCCACUGAGAGAGGCCAGGGAUCGAACCCAAUACCUCAUGGUUUCUAGUCAGAUUCGUUUCCCAUGUGCCAUGACUGGAACUCCUCCAAAACAAUCACAUUCAUCUACUUUUAAAUGACAUGAGAAAAAUGCCUCUGAGUUCUGUGAAAUGUGUGUGUAUGUAUGUGUGCGUAUCACCUUAAAUUACAUUAAAAAAAAAAAUUGGCAGGAGAUACCCAAAUGUUAACAGGGUUUUUGCUUCAGAGUGGAAUUAGAGAUAUUUUUACUUUUCCCCUCCAUUUGAAAAUAUGUAACCAAACUUUCAACAGCAUAUGCUACUUUAAUAAUUAGGAUAAAAUGUUGCUUUGAGAUUUAUUCCAUUCAUAUUGAAUAGAUGGGGGUGGGGGGCCCCCUCCUACAGUUACUCAGAAACUUAGCCUGGGAUCCACUUUUCUGUAUGUGAGUACUUUGGAAAGUGGAAUAUGUGACGGACCCGUUUGCUAUUACUCAGUGCAAGCUCUGCCUAGGAGGGCCUCUUCCAUCACUUAGUGGCCUUGGGUGAAGAGUCCCUGCCCAGGAGUGGCCAGUGCCAUGAUAACAUUCACUUUUUAAAAAUUCCUGUACUUCCUGGUCUAACAGAGACCUUUUUUAAAGGUGGUGGUGGGGUGCAUUUCUCUACUUAGCAGACAGGAGAACAUUUAUUAAGCUACGGUUUCUGGGCUUCUCUUUUUUUUCCAUUUGUGAUGUUAGUGAUUUGAGACCCCCUUAUACCAUAGGCUGGGUUUCUUAAGUUAGAAAGGGGGGGCUGGGGAAACACAAAACAUUUCUAUUACUCAUCUCACUGUAGUCAUUGUAACAAUCCAUAUGCAAAACUCUUCCUUCAGAGAUAAAUACCCUGAAUCUUUGAAUUAUCCUAUUGGACCCAACCAAAUUCAGUGAUUCACUCAGGGCCAUCUGAAAUAUCUCAAGUCGUCACUUGAGUGUCAAAGAGUAGGCUACCUGCCACUGAGCAGAACACAUUUCUUCUUAAGUGAGAACGACUUCAACUUUUUCUGUUUCAAGUCUUCACAGCAAAGCUGUCCUUAACAUUUCAUGUGUCACUAGGUACCUUUAAAAAAAAAAUCACCGAUUUAUUCUACAUAAUUUGGUGAACUUGGCUUUUAAGGAAUUCAGGGACUUUGUACCAAGUUU